GCUGUGCUGGGGAAAGGAGGAGGGAAGCUGUGGCCCUCAGCCAGCUGUCCUUUAAAAAUUAAUCACUAUAGGCACCAACUAAUUUUUCUCAUGGCUGAUCCUUCAAAAUGUACGUGGGGAAAACUGGAAAGUGCAACAGACUGUAGAAAUCUACUUCUCUGGACAGAGCCUUCUGACAGUUUCACAAUGAAGACAAACGCAUACGUGGAGAGAGAGAUGUCAGAGUGGAAAGGCUCCUGAAAUGAGACCUAUCAGCUAACUGGCAAAGACAUAAUAGGCUGCAUGCCUCUGCAGAACUAUAAUAAACAAUCUUUGUUUUCAUUAUUGCUCCUUAAUUUAGUUAAACUAGAAUGUGGUAGAACACUAUGGUUACUGGAAGAACAGAUCCCGAUAGGACUGAGCUUUUUCAGCCGCAGACCUGGGUUUUCCACUGUAUUUGAGUAUAUAGGAGAGGAGAGCAAUGAAAA